UAGUGUUUAGGUCAGUUUUAUCGCGCGGUUGAAGCUGUUCAGAUCAAGAAGAAAAAAAUUAUUAAAAUUAAAAUUGAAGAAAAAAAAAUAUAAAAAUUUUUUUUUAAAAUAAUUUUUGAUUAGAAAAAUUUGCAAAAGAAAAAAAACUAAAAUUAUUUUUUAUGUGAAAUUAUUAAGUAAAUUUCAAAAUAACAUUAAAUAAUGAUAAUUAUAUUAUUAUAAAUAUAAAAACAAAUAGAAAGAAAUAAAACAGAAAUAAAAUUAUAACAAAUGGUGAAAAUUCAAUCAUAUUUCUAAAUUAAAAACAUUUGCUCAUUUUUUCUGUAUAACAGUCAUAAUAUUUUCACAUAUGCGAAUAUAUAAUAAUCUUUUACAUUCAAGCAUACCUUACAAUAUAUAUAUAUAUACGAUCUACUAUAUUAUAUAUACGGUAUGUACACUCUUAUAUGAAUAAAAUAAUAAAUUUAAGAUCAAUGAACAUUUUUUUCACCACUUCCACUAUAGUGGAAUAAAGACAAGGAUAGAAAAACAAAUAAAAAGAAACAACACAAGAACAUUUAAGAAUAGUGAAAUCUUGUAAAUUAAUUUAAAAAUAGAAGGAGAAAAAGAAAAGAAGAAAACGAUAUACUUUUAAAAUAUAAUUUUAUUUUGUCUCUCACAUAUUGUUUAUAAUAUAACAGUGCAUAAAAUUUACUAAUAAAUGUUUGUGUGUUUAAAAAAUUAAAAAAAUUUUUUUAUGACGUAAUAUUAAAUUUAGAAAUUUUUUUGUAGUCAUUUUUAUUUUUUCUUAUUUUCUUUUUCAUGUGUUCCUUUAAACUGAAAUAAAAAUAAAUAAAUAAAAUUAAAUAAUUAUUGUUUAAAAAUAAAAAGUAUUGUAUGUAAAAAAGAAACAAAAAAAAUCUAAAAUAAAUUGAGAAUUAAAAAUACAAUAAGAAAAAAAAUUCAGAAGAACGACAAAAAAUUCUUGAAGAAAAACAAAAAUUUAAGAAUAUUGCCGCGCUCAGGAGACCCAAUUGAAAGUACCCAAAAUAAUAUUGUAAGAUUUUCUGGAAAAAGACCUUGAAAAGGUUCCAGUAUUCCUGAAAAACUUUCUUAGUUUCAUAAUACAGGUAUUUUUCACUUAAAUUUUAUCAUGUAAUUUAAAAAAUAUUUCGUAAAUAAAAAAAAAAUUAAUAGAACCAAAUUUGACCUAAUUGGUUUCAAAGUUUAGUUAUUUGGUAUAAAUUUCAAAGCUUCACACUCCUAACUUUUAUGAUAUUUUAAUGAAAUCGAAUAAAAUUUAUAAUCACUUUUUGAUAGCUAAAACUUGACUAUAUCAAAAAUCGGUUCAACGCUACC